rnacentral:rRNA from 1 species
CCCUUAGAUGUCCGGGGCUGCACGCGCGCUACACUGUAGAAAGCAGCGUGCUUUAAAACCUUUCCUGAAAAGGAUGGGUAACCCCAGCAAAAUUCUACGUGCUGGGGAUAGAGAUUUGCAAUUUUCUCUCUUGAACGAGGAAUUCCCAGUAAGUGCGAGUCAUCAGCUCGCGUUGAUUACGUCCCUGCCCUUUGUACACACCGCCCGUCGCUACUACCGAUUGGGAAAAUUUUAGAGAGUCCUGGACUGAUGAUUGUUCGGCUUCACGGCCUUACUUUCGUCGGGAAAGAAUUCGAUAAUAUUUUUCUAGAGGAAGUAAAAGUCGUAACA